rnacentral:tRNA from 1 species
GGGGAUAUAGUUCAGUGGUAUAGUGCUUGCCUAGCAUGCAGAAGGUCCUGGGUUCAAUUCCCAGCACCG